rnacentral:rRNA from 1 species
UGAUCCUGGCUCAGAUUGAACGCUGGCGGCAGGCUUAACACAUGCAAGUCGAACGGUAACAGAAAGUAGCUUGCUACUUUGCUGACGAGUGGCGGACGGGUGAGUAAUGCUUGGGAAUAUGCCUUAUGGUGGGGGACAACAGUUGGAAACGACUGCUAAUACCGCAUAACAUCUCCGGAUCAAAGUGGGGGACCUUCGGGCCUCACGCCAUAAGAGUAGCCCAAGUGGGAUUAGCUAGUUGGUAAGGUAAUGGCUUACCAAGGCGACGAUCCCUAGUUGGUCUUAGAGGAUGACCAGCCACACUGGAACUGAGACACGGUCCAGACUCCUACGGGAGGCAGCAGUGGGGAAUAUUGCACAAUGGGCGCAAGCCUGAUGCAGCCAUGCCGCGUGUGUGAAGAAGGCUUUCGGGUUGUAAAGCACUUUCAGCGAGGAGGAAAGGUUGUACUUUAAUAGAGUGCAGCUGUGACGUUACUCGCAGAAGAAGCACCGGCUAACUCCGUGCCAGCAGCCGCGGUAAUACGGAGGGUGCGAGCGUUAAUCGGAAUUACUGGGCGUAAAGCGCGCGUAGGCGGUUAAUUAAGUCAGAUGUGAAAUCCCAGGGCUCAACCUUGGAACUGCAUUUGAAACUGGUUAACUAGAGUUUUGUAGAGGGUGGUAGAAUUUCAGGUGUAGCGGUGAAAUGCGUAGAGAUCUGAAGGAAUACCAGUGGCGAAGGCGGCCACCUGGACAAAGACUGACGCUGAGGCGCGAAGGCGUGGGGAGCAAACGGGAUUAGAUACCCCGGUAGU